CUGAAAAGGAGCCUGUACAAAUACAACCAUAGAAUAUCUCGCAAGGGGUAUGCAAAUCUGGUUGAGGAGUUGCGUGCAUCUUCUUCGUCAGAUCAAAUAGAUCGAUCGAUAGUAUGGAAACAUGCACGGUUGGAUCGUAAGGGAGAGUUCCCAGAUAAAGAGACGAUGGACGUUGCCAAUCUCAUUGACGAUCUAAUGGGCAACCAGAAGGGACGUAGUUUAUCUGGUGGUGACGAUGUUCUCACCCAGGCAUUGGGAGGGAAAGAACGUCCGGGCAUACUCCGAGGCGUGGGGAAGUACGUGACUAAGAAAAAAUAUUUCCAUACCCCAAUGGAAUCUAAAGAAGGUAAUGAGGAGAGGACAGU